AACAACGGAUCUCUUGGUUCCAGCAUCGAUGAAGAACG
rnacentral:rRNA from 1 species